UUGACUCUUCGGAUGAUUUCUUUUGUGACUUAGUGGCGGACGGGUGAGUAACGCGUGGGUAACCUGCCUCACACAGGGGGAUAACAGUUAGAAAUGACUGCUAAUACCGCAUAACCCGAUAGGAUCGCAUGAUCCAGACGGAAAAGAUUUAUCGGUGUGAGAUGGACCCGCGUCUGAUUAGCUAGUUGGUGAGGUAACGGCCCACCAAGGCGACGAUCAGUAGCCGGCCUGAGAGGGUGAACGGCCACAUUGGGACUGAGACACGGCCCAAACUCC
rnacentral:rRNA from 1 species